CCCUUAGAUGUUCUGGGCCGCACGCGCGCUACACUGAUGCAUUCAACAAGCCUAGCCUUGACCGAGAGGUCCGGGUAAUCUUUGAAACUGCAUCGUGAUGGGGCUAGAUUAUUGCAAUUAUUAAUCUUCAACGAGGAAUGCCUAGUAAGCGUGAUUCAUCAAAUCGCGUUGAUUACGUCCCUGCCCUUUGUACACACCGCCCGUCGCUCCUACCGAUUGAAUGUGUUGGUGAGGAGCUCGGUUUGGCAGCAGUUGGUGGUUCGCCACCGGCUAUUGCUGAGAAGUCCUCCAAACCGCCCCAUUUAGAGGAAGGAGAAGUCGUAACA
rnacentral:rRNA from 1 species